rnacentral:rRNA from 1 species
AUGCCGCAGCACUUCUGGUCUGUGGAGGGGGCUGAGGAGGCGCUCGGCUGUCGCGUCGACCGCCUCGACAGCCGCACGUUUGAGUGCAGCCACACCAAGAGUUUCGCCUGCUGGGUUUGGGUAUGGGACGUCGGCCUCAUCCCGACCAAGCACACCUUCUGGCUGAUGCAGCGCGGGGUGGGCAGAGUGGAGGAGAUGCUGGGUUUUUCGCCGCCCGGCCGCGUCGUCGCUGCGCCGCCGUCUGCAAUCCGCCACGACGUCCUCAUCCAUGUCGAUCGCAUCGAGGACUGGACCCCGUACAAGCCGCGGUCGCCACGCUCUGCUCAGAGCGGCCUGUCGUCCUCGGAUUCGGAUGACGAUGACAGGCCGAUGCCGCGCACCAUCUCGGGGCCUCGUGGAAGAAGGGCGUGGAGGAUGGCCAAUGUGAGCCGCAGCAUCGCCGUCAGCUCGCCACGCUGGUGGAUGUGGGGUGCCGCGGCGGUGCUCAUGGAGGUGGCCGCAAGGACGACGAGGACGACGACCAGGGCGGGCGCAGGUCUUGGAAAGACACCCUCCUGGGUCGCAGUCGUGCGGGUAAGGAGAAGGUGGUGGAUACGGAGGCCUCCUCGCGCCACCGCAGCCGCUCCCCCCAGGCAUGCGCCGCUCAAAGAGCUCCAGGGGCCGCCGCAACGUUGGUCACCACCAUGCUGGGGGUGCAGGGCCAGCCUUGCUCCAAGCCCCGCGGCCCCUGCCCUCCCAGGCACCUGUCGACGCGCCACCAGCCGCCGACCCGAUUGCGGACUUCUUCGCCGGCGCCAAGACAACGCUGUCGCCGCCACCACCCUUCGACUGCAUGGCCGCUGA